GAUGAACGCUGGCGGCGUGCCUAACACAUGCAAGUCGAGCGAACGGACGAGAAGCUUGCUUCUCUGAUGUUAGCGGCGGACGGGUGAGUAACACGUGGAUAACCUACCUAUAAGACUGGGAUAACUUCGGGAAACCGGAGCUAAUACCGGAUGAUAUUUUGAACCGCAUGGUUCAAAAGUGAAAGACGGCCUUGCUGUCACUUAUAGAUGGAUCCGCGCUGCAUUAGCUAGUUGGUAAGGUAACGGCUUACCAAGGCAACGAUGCAUAGCCGACCUGAGAGGGUGAUCGGCCACACUGGAACUGAGACACGGUCCAGACUCCUACGGGAGGCAGCAGUAGGGAAUCUUCCGCAAUGGGCGAAAGCCUGACGGAGCAACGCCGCGUGAGUGAUGAAGGUCUUCGGAUCGUAAAACUCUGUUAUUAGGGAAGAACAUAUGUGUAAGUAACUGUGCACAUCUUGACGGUACCUAAUCAGAAAGCCACGGCUAACUACGUG
rnacentral:rRNA from 1 species